AAACCGUCUCAAAAAUCUGAAUGGAUCAUACAAUGGAUCAUUUGGAAGGAGAUCACAGAUGGUGAAACGAAGAACCCCUUAUUCUCCGAUUGUUUUCAUCCACUGUCUUGGUUAUCUUUUAUAUAUGUUGGUAUCAAGAUUCAAAAAACUGUAGCUUCGCAUUUUUAUAUAAUGAACGGUUAUUAACGCAGAAAAAUAUAAACAAAAGAGCGUUACGACAUUAUAAACAAAUUCUUUUUUAUAUACUCGUUUUCAGAUAAAUAUAUGUAAUGUUGAUUGAUUAAUGGAGGAAUAUGGGUGACCACACACCCAUAUUAAUCUUGUGAUGGCCAUCACGUUAUCUUUCCACUUUCGGCAGGAAAGCAUGUGGAAAAUGCCCAGCCAGUCACGUGUCAGAUUGGGGUUUGUUAGUCGUCCAGCCCUACAUUGAUCCAAUUAUGGGGAUAUGCUGUUUGCUUUCCAGAACCUUAUCUUCCACCGGGUUCUUGUUCAUACUACAUUUCCUCACUUACCAUGCAUUUUCUUAUUUUC
rnacentral:lncRNA from 1 species